AUUGAACGCUGGCGGCAGGCCUAACACAUGCAAGUCGAACGAGUGGCGGACGGGUGAGUAAUGUCUGGGAAACUGCCUGAUGGAGGGGGCUAACUACUGGAAACGGUAGCUAAUACCGCAUACCAUCGGAUGUGCCCAGAUGGGCUUGGCUAGUAGGUGGGGUAAAGGCUCACAUAGGCGACGAUCCAUAGCUGGUCUGAGAGGAUGACCGUCCACACUGGAACUGAGACACGGUCCAGACUCCGACGUGAGGCAGCAGUGGAGAAUAUUGCACAAUGAGCGCAAGCCUGAUGCAGCCAUGCCGCGUGUAUUAAGAAGGCCGUCGGGGUGUAAUGUACUUUCAGCGGGGAGGCGUUACCCGCAGAAGAAGCACCGGCUAACUCCGUGCCAGCAGCCGCGGUAAUAC
rnacentral:rRNA from 1 species